AUUUUCUCGAAUUAUAAAGAGCUAAUAUAAUAUAAAUUUAAUUGUGGCAUAAAUUUUUACAAUAUUAUAUUAGAAAUGAAACGUUAUUCGUUUUUUAAGAUAUCUAGUUUCUUAAGAAAUAAAUUUAAUUUAGUUUGUAUAUUAUAUAUAAUUAAUUUUUUAGUUAUAUUUAUAUAGAAAGUAAUAUUUUAAGGGAUAAGCUUUAAAAUAAAGUAUUAAAAAUAAUAUAUUUUGAAUAAAAAUUAGUAGGAUUGGAAGUGUUUAUCUUUAGUUUGUUAUAAAUAAUUUUUAUUAGAAUAAGAUUUAUAUAGUUUUUAAGUUAUUUAUUAAGAUAAUAUAUAUAAUAUUAUUAUAUAUGUAAUAAUGAUAAAAUUAGUAUAUGAUUUUAAUGUAAAAUUAAGUUAAGUAAUCAAGGUUAAGUUAAGGAACUCGGCAAAUGUAUUUUCCGCCUGUUUAUUAAAAACAUGUCUUUUUGAUUAUAAUUUAAAGUCUGACCUGCCCAAUGAGGAGUUGAAUGGCCGCGGUAAUUUGACCGUGCAAAGGUAGCAUAAUCAUUAGUUUUUUAAUUGAAAGCUGGAAUGAACGGUUGGACGAGAAAAUAACUGUCUCAAUUUAAUUGAAUGUAGAAUUUUAUUUAUAAGUAAAAAAGCUUAUAUGAAUUUAAAAGACGAGAAGACCCUAUAGAGUUUUAUAGUUUUUUAUAUUAAAGAAUUUUAGAAUGUUUAUAUUUUUAAUAUAAAAAAUUAUUUUGCUGGGGCAGCAGAAAAAUUUAUUGAACUUUUUUUAUAAUUUUACAUUGAUUUAUGAUUUAAUGAUCCAUUAUUUAUGAUUAUAAGAUUAAAUUACCUUAGGGAUAACAGCGUAAUUUUUUUUUAGAGUUCUUAUCGAAAAAAGAGUUUGCGACCUCGAUGUUGGAUUAAAAUUAACUUUUGGUGUAGGGGCUAAAAGGUUAGGUCUGUUCGA
rnacentral:rRNA from 1 species